AGCUCCUCCUCGCUGCACCCAGCACCACUACCGCCCUCUUGAGGCUAAAUAGUCUUGUGCAGCUCACAGGAGUAGCCAUUUUUGGAGUUAUUUUUGGG